AACUAUUUUUAAUUUUUACUCGAGUAAAAAUAUGUUGAAAAGCAUGCCCCCCAAAAAAUAAAAUAAAGGAGCAAUGUGAGGUGCAGAUAUGUGGUUUGUUGCCUGAGGACAACGCCAUGCCUUAGAGGGUUAAA